UCGUAACAAGGUCUCCGUUGGUGAACCAGCGGAGGGAUCAUUACCGAGUUUACAACUCCCAAACCCCUGUGAACAUACCUUAUGUUGCCUCGGCGGAUCAGCCCGCGCCCCGUAAAAAGGGACGGCCCGCCGCAGGAACCUUAAACUCUGUUUUUAGUGGAACUUCUGAGUAUAAAAAACAAAUAAAUCAAAACUUUCAACAACGGAUCUCUUGGUUCUGGCAUCGAUGAAGAACGCAGCAAAAUGCGAUAAGUAAUGUGAAUUGCAGAAUUCAGUGAAUCAUCGAAUCUUUGAACGCACAUUGCGCCCGCCAGUAUUCUGGCGGGCAUGCCUGUUCGAGCGUCAUUUCAACCCUCAAGCCCAGCUUGGUGUUGGGAGCUGCAGUCCUGCUGCACUCCCCAAAUACAUUGGCGGUCACGUCGAGCUUCCAUAGCGUAGUAAUUUACAUAUCGUUACUGGUAAUCGUCGCGGCCACGCCGUUAAACCCCAACUUCUGAAUGUUGACCUCGGAUCAGGUAGGAAUACCCGCUGAACCUAAGCAUAUCA
rnacentral:misc_RNA from 1 species